rnacentral:rRNA from 1 species
GACGAACGCUGGCGGCGUGCCUAAUACAUGCAAGUUGAGCGCUGAAGGUUGGUACUUGUACCGACUGGAUGAGCAGCGAACGGGUGAGUAACGCGUGGGGAAUCUGCCUUUUAGCGGGGGACAACAUUUGGAAACGAAUGCUAAUACCGCAUAAAAACUUUAAACACAAGUUUUAAGUUUGAAAGAUGCAAUUGCAUCACUCAAAGAUGAUCCCGCGUUGUAUUAGCUAGUUGGUGAGGUAAAGGCUCACCAAGGCGAUGAUACAUAGCCGACCUGAGAGGGUGAUCGGCCACAUUGGGACUGAGACACGGCCCAAACUCCUACGGGAGGCAGCAGUAGGGAAUCUUCGGCAAUGGACGAAAGUCUGACCGAGCAACGCCGCGUGAGUGAAGAAGGUUUUCGGAUCGUAAAACUCUGUUGGUAGAGAAGAACGUUGGUGAGAGUGGAAAGCUCAUCAAGUGACGGUAACUACCCAGAAAGGGACGGCUAACUACGUG